AACGCAACUUGCGCCCUUUGGUAUUCCGAAGGGCAUGCCUGUUUGAGUGUCAUGAAAACCUCAAUCCCUCGGGUUUCUUAGUGAACCCGUUGGACUUGGAUCUGGGCGUCUGCCGCGACCCUCCGGGGAUGUCGGCUCGCCUCAAAUGUGUUAGUGGGACGGUGACUGCCCGUCAGCCUGGCGUAAUAAGUUUCGCUGGGCCUCUGGGGCUUGGUCAGUCGGCCUGCUUAUAACAACCAACUUUCUUAUGACUCUGACCUCAAAUCAGGUAGGGCUACCCGCUGAACUUAA
rnacentral:misc_RNA from 1 species